AUGCAGUCGAGCGAACGGACGAGAAGCUUGCUUCUCUGAUGUUAGCGGCGGACGGGUGAGUAACACGUGGAUAACCUACCUAUAAGACUGGGAUAACUUCGGGAAACCGGAGCUAAUACCGGAUAAUAUUUUGAACCGCAUGGUUCAAAAGUGAAAGACGGUCUUGCUGUCACUUAUAGAUGGAUCCGCGCUGCAUUAGCUAGUUGGUAAGGUAACGGCUUACCAAGGCAACGAUGCAUAGCCGACCUGAGAGGGUGAUCGGCCACACUGGAACUGAGACACGGUCCAGACUCCUACGGGAGGCAGCAGUAGGGAAUCUUCCGCAAUGGGCGAAAGCCUGACGGAGCAACGCCGCGUGAGUGAUGAAGGUCUUCGGAUCGUAAAACUCUGUUAUUAGGGAAGAACAUAUGUGUAAGUAACUGUGCACAUCUUGACGGUACCUAAUCAGAAAGCCACGGCUAACUACGUGCCAGCAGCCGCGGUAAUACGUAGGUGGCAAGCGUUAUCCGGAAUUAUUGGGCGUAAAGC
rnacentral:rRNA from 1 species